rnacentral:lncRNA from 1 species
CCAAAGUCAGGGAAAUGAAGAACAAGUUUCAGGAGAAACUCAGGAAAGACUUGUUCCUGGUCAUGUUCCCUGCAGACAUUACCAAGCUCCAGGAAAGAGGGAGAGAAAAUGCCAUCUGGGAAAGACAAGAAUACAGCCCAGAGGUUAGCUGGGAAGGAUG